CCUACGGGGGGCUGCAGUCGAGAAUCAUUCACAAUGGGGGAAACCCUGAUGGUGCGACGCCGCGUGGGGGAAUGAAGGUCUUCGGAUUGUAAACCUCUUUUGUCGGGGAGCAAAAGACGCCACGCGUGGCGUUCCGAGAGUACCCGAAGAAAAAGCAUCGGCUAACUCCGUGCCAGCAGCCGCGGUAAUACGGAGGAUGCGAGCGUUAUCCGGAUUUAUUGGGUUUAAAGGGUGCGCAGGCGGAAGAUCAAGUCAGCGGUAAAAUUGAGAGGCUCAACCUCUUCGAGCCGUUGAAACUGGUUUUCUGGAGUGAGCGAGAAGUAUGCGGAAUGCGUGGUGUAGCGGUGAAAUGCAUAGAUAUCACGCAGAACUCCGAUUGCGAAGGCAGCAUACCGGCGCUCAACUGACGCUCAUGCACGAAAGUGUGGGUAUCGAACAGGAUUAGAUACCCUGGUAGUC
rnacentral:rRNA from 1 species